ACGAGUGUCGUGUGGGUCGUGGUUAAAAAGCCCUUCUGCAGGGUCACACCGGAAUUUCCCCCAGACGCGUGCGCACGUGAAUUAAUCCAUCAGAAGGCGGUUCACGGCCGAGGGAACGGGGCUUGGGGGCGGCAAAUCGCCUCACACCGACCGGGAGGACCCCAGACGUCACCCAGCGCGUGCAGCUGCGCGCCCCUAAAGGGCACAGGUGUCCCCUGGGCCCGGUGAGCGGGCGCAGAAGACCCCAGAGACCCCGCGUCUGCAGAAGGGAAACGAGGGUUUCGGCCGCCUCUCCCGUGCGGUGACGCCGCAGCCAGAUUGACGGGCUUCGGGGGAGGAAGUGAGUGACGUCGCUCCUCCCCCCGCCCUUGGAGGGCCGGGCUGUGCCCUCCUAGGCCCGGGAAGACCGAGCUGGGCAGGGCUGUGCGGGCAGCGGCUGGCACCAGAAGUCCCGGAGGAAGCAUUUCCCCUUCGUCCGCCUCCAGCUUGUCCCUGCCCCGCACUGGACACUUCCAUGCCCCUUCACCUGCCUCUUCCUGCCACAAGGCCUGUGCACACGCUGUCCCCUCUUCCUGGGGUGCCGUGUGCGGGCAGCUGAUGGUCAGUCUAAGGAACUUACUCUCGUAAAACCACAGCCAAGUGGCCGUGCCGUUUUGCAUCCCACCUGCCGAUGCAUGAGGGUUCCCGGGCUCCAUGUUCUCACCAACCCUCGUGUCUGUGUCGUGUGCCUUGUUAACGACGUUAACCACUGCGGUGAGUUUACGGAGCUGUCUCACUGUGCUCUUAACUUGCGUUACCCUGAGAGCUAAUGAUGUGGAGCCAUUCAUGUAUCUUCUUUAGUAAAGGAUCUUUUCAAAUCUUUUGCUGAUUUUCAAAAAUUGAGGAGUGGUAGGAGCCCUUGAUACUUGUACCUUCUGAUACAAGCUCUCUACCAGGUGAAUGUUUUGCAGGUGUUUUCUCCCAGCCUUUGACUUGCUUUUUCAUCUUCUUACCAGUAUCUAUUUUUUUCAUCAGUCCAACUCAUUUUAUUUUAUUUAUGGCAGGGGGCAGGGGAGUGAAGAGGAUUUUCCUACAACAAGGCUUCUGCUUGGAGAGGCAGAUGAGUCUGGACCUUUUAUGCCCCCUCCUGGGGGCGGUCAGGGAGGAUGCCCAGCACCACCGGCAGUGGCCCAUCCAAGGCAAGGCUGCAAGCCACCCCACCCCCUCUGAGACAUAUCACAGAAACUUGGUGCCCCACCUCCGUACCCCAUGCCGGUCCUGCAGAUCCUGUGACAUUUGUCUUUCUGAGAAAUGUUUACUCAGCUUUUACUGUGACUUACUUGCAAGCAAUUGUUAACGUUGGCAUUUUUUAAAUUGUGAAACAUGUAACAUAAGGAUUGCCAUUUAAGUAUUAUUAAACAUACAGUUGCAUUUAAUUAAU